rnacentral:rRNA from 3 species
UCUGCAACUCGACUCCAUGAAGUCGGAAUCGCUAGUAAUCGUGGAUCAGAAUGCCACGGUGAAUACGUUCCCGGGCCUUGUACACACCGCCCGUCACACCAUGGGAGUGGGUUGCAAAAGAAGUAGGUAGCUUAACCUUCGGGAGGGCGCUUACCACUUUGUGAUUCAUGACUGGGGUGAAGUCGUAACAAGGUAACCGUAGGGGAACCUGCGGUUGGAUCACCUCCUUA